AUCAAACACAAAGUGCAAUAAGCUUCAUUUCCUGGGUGAGAAGCUCCUUGUUGGAGAAGCAGGGCACGUGCAAAUCCUCUUUCUGAUUCAUUCUCUCAUAAUGCAUAUCAAUAUCUUUUGCACGUGCUCCCCUUCUCCAACUAGGCUUCCUCACCCUUCCCUCUAAUCUCACUUAAUUACUCUUCAUCAGUUUUGAAAUUGAAGCAAAGGAAAGGACAUUAUUGUACUCUGCACUUUCUGAAUCUGAUGAGGAGAUUUUGGAGACUUCCACUGAAGUUAAGUGUGAAUUGUAAUGUAAAAAGUGAGAAGAUUCUUUGGAGUGUGAAACAGGAAUGUUUGUUGUAUUGUAAUCUAAAAUGAUCAAACAUGUUACGGACUUAGUACCAUGCUUUUGGUUGUCCAAAUGCUCACUAUAUAUUCCUUGUCACGUGAAAAUUGAUCAUGUAUUAUAUAUAUAUAUAAACAAAUUGUACCAUCA